ACGUACACUCCUGCGGGAGGCAGCAGUGGGGAAUAUUGGACAAUGGGCGCAAGCCUGAUCCAGCCAUGCCGCGUGAGUGAUGAAGGCCCUAGGGUUGUAAAGCUCUUUCACCGGUGAAGAUAAUGACGGUAACCGGAGAAGAAGCCCCGGCUAACUUCGUGCCAGCAGCCGCGGUAAUACGGAGGGGGCUAGCGUUGUUCGGAUUUACUGGGCGUAAAGCGCACGUAGGCGGACUAUUAAGUCAGGGGUGAAAUCCCGGGGCUCAACCCCGGAACUGCCUUUGAUACUGGUAGUCUUGAGUUCGAGAGAGGUGAGUGGAAUUCCGGGUGUAGAGGUGAAAUUCGUAGAUAUUCGGAGGAACACCAGUGGCGAAGGCGGCUCACUGGCUCGAUACUGACGCUGAGGUGCGAAAGCGUGGGGAGCAAACAGGAUUAGAUACCCUUGUAGUCCCAUGAU
rnacentral:rRNA from 1 species